UACGAAGGGGGCUAGCGUUGUUCGGAAUUACUGGGCGUAAAGCGCGCGCAGGCGGUCUUCCAAGUCAGUGGUGAAAGCCCGGAGCUCAACUCCGGAACUGCCAUUGAAACUGUUAGACUUGAGGAUGAGAGAGGUGAGUGGAAUUCCCAGUGUAGAGGUGAAAUUCGUAGAUAUUGGGAAGAACACCGGUGGCGAAGGCGGCUCACUGGCUCGAUUACUGACGCUCAGGCGCGAUAGCGUGGGGAUCAAACAGG
rnacentral:rRNA from 1 species